rnacentral:tRNA from 2 species
UCGGGGAUCGUCUAAUGGCAGGACAUGUGGCUCUGACCCACAGAAUCUAGGUUCGACCCCUAGUCCCCGAG